AUGCGUGCUUAUGGCUGAGGAUCAAGGCAAGAGAAGAUGGGGGUGCGGAGGUUUCCUAGAAGAGGGCUCCAACUUGCGUAUACGGACGCAUUUCAAGUGGCCUAGGAUGUAUUUGAUAAGAAAUAGCCAUAGAAAGCGCAGAACCCGAAAAGAGAUCUAAAACACGAGUCCCUUCCGGACUGCUGGACGCCACCCCCCGGCAAACCUGCUUUCAGAACUUACAAGAAACUAAGCAGCAGCCUUGUGCAGCAAGGAAUCACUCUGGAAAAAAGCAUGAAGAAACUAUAGAGCGGUGGAACUAAGCGCUAAAAGCAGAAGACAACAAAUACUUAACAGCUAAUUUUGUUGUGUCAAAAUCUGUCCUGCUUUCUUACCAGUUAUUUUGCAUAAACAAGAAAAUAUAGAUCCUCUUCCAUUAA